GUAGCUUUAUCUUAUCAGUUCACCAGGUCUAAGGUGGCGAAGGAAACUCUUGCGAAAGAGAUUCUGUGCAGCGGAGUUCACAGGUGCCAUCUUCUCUUCAGUAAUGUUCCGAAGAGAACGGCGUAUGGGUGCAUGCGCAAUUGGAGCAAUCUUCCUGUUCGCGACAAAUGCGCAUUCGACGAAAGUGAUGGAAAUUGUCGAAUCGCCAGAAGAAAACCCGUCCAGACACCCGGAACAAACUUCAGCUUGGAAAUGUGAAAAUACGCUCUCUGUGUCUGAAUAUGGGCCAACAGUUAAGAUACAGAAAUGAGUGGAUGGGAGUGGGGUGGCUGUAUAAACACAGAUGAAAAAACAUCCUUGUGUAGCAGUAGUCUUUAACAAAUAUAUCAAUUGCGUGUCAUUC